rnacentral:rRNA from 1 species
GACGGGACCCGCACAAGCCGCGGAGCGUGUGGUUUAAUCGUUUGCUACACGAAGAACCUUACCUGGGUUUGACAUAUAGGUUGUAGGGAACUGAAAAGGGACCGACCCUUCGGGGAGCCUAUACAGGUGUUGCAUGGCUGUCGUCAGCUCGUGUCGUGAGAUGUUCGGUUAAGUCCGCUAACGAGCGCAACCCUCGUCGUAUGUUAUAUGUGUCAUACGAGACUGCCGGUAAAAGCCGGAGGAAGGUGAGGAUGAUGUCAAGUCAGCAUGACCUUUAUAUCCAGGGCUACACACACGCUACAAUGGUCUGUACAAUGGGUAGCCAAGCCGCGAGGCGGAGCCAAUCCUGAAAGCAGGCCUCAGUUCAGAUUGCAGUCUGCAACUCGACUGCAUGAAGCCGGAGUUGCUAGUAACCGCAGGUCAGCAAUACUGCGGUGAAUACGUUCCCGGGUCUU